rnacentral:rRNA from 1 species
UACGGGGGGAGCAAGCGUUGUUCGGAUUUACUGGGCGUAAAGGGCGCGUAGGCGGCGCAACAAGUCACUUGUGAAAUCUCCGGGCUUAACCCGGAGCGGUCAAGUGAUACUGUCGUGCUAGAGUGCGGAAGGGGCUACUGGAAUUCUCGGUGUAGCGGUGAAAUGCGCAGAUAUCAGGAGGAACACCGGUGGCGAAGGCGGGUCUCUGGGCCGAUAACUGACGCUGGAGGAGCGGAAAGCGUGGGGAGCGAACAGG